ACGAGCACAUGCAGGAAACUUGCACGUGUGGUUCUGGCCGGGACUCCGGUAUACUGUACUAAUAUGUGUGGGUCCCCGUAAU
rnacentral:sRNA from 1 species